UAUGAAACAGGGCAAAGUCGUUGAAAAACGGCGGCGCAAAGCUUUGGGUCUAACGUUUAGGUUAAUAUCCCUAAACUAUGAUCGCCAGGCUGCCAUU
rnacentral:ncRNA from 1 species